AGGGAUCCUUCUGCUGCCCCAAUGGUCUCUGCACCUCAACCCCUGGGGGCAAGCCCUAGCUCCACACAGGUCUUCAUUUGCCUGUGCUCUGACCUCUCUCCCUCAUAAAACGGUUCUUAGAGACUUUAAAGUACAAGCCUGUCUGAAGAGUGAUCCUAUGAUGUGCCCCAAGCCCUGGCCUGUUCCCAGACCUGUUUUGUUCCCUGGAAUUCCUGUUCAGAUGUUGACAGGAACAGCAUGCCUUCAGAUUUAUCACGAGAGCAGCAGCAGAAUCACAGGGUCAGGUUUGCUGCUGCCCAGGCUUGGACAUCACCUCCAGGACUCAUCCAGGCUCAGGUGACAACACAUCACAGAGGGUACAACCUCCUUAUGGAAAUAUUUCCUCUUCUGUGCCUCCUGCCUGAGGCAAACAAUGGAGCCUCAUCACC